UACAGAGGGGGCAAGCGUUAUUCGGAAUUAUUGGGCGUAAAGGGCGCGUAGGCGGCUUGGCAAGUGGAUGGUGAAAUCCCUCGGCUUAACCGAGGAACUGCCAUCCAGACUGCUUUGCUUGAGGCCGGGGAGAGGUGAGUGGAAUUCCCAGUGUAGCGGUGAAAUGCGUAGAUAUUGGGAGGAACACCAGUGGCGAAGGCGGCUCACUGGACCGGAACUGACGCUGAGGCGCGACAGCGUGGGGGAGCAAACGAG
rnacentral:rRNA from 1 species